rnacentral:lncRNA from 1 species
ACCAUUGUCAGUUAUGCUUCUGAUGGAUGGUCCUUUACGUAUGUUCGUGAUAUUGUGCUCCCUUCUAGUGUCAUCCUUUGACUCUCCCGUCUGUUCCCUUGUGCAAUCACGAUAGAGUGUCAUCAAUGAUAGAAAUAACACAAACAUUUCGACUAGAGUGGUUGAUGGUGAUUUGUUGUAGAUGUUUGUCGAGGUAGCCGAUCAUGUAGUGUCCUUAGUCGUAGUAGUCAUGCAUGAUAGUUGAUGUAUCCUCACAUAGCCUAACAUGAAAAAAUUCAAACGAAGCUGUAGUCAUAGAUGAAACACCUUGUGGAUGACCAACGAUGCCAUUGAAUACAUCUUCCAUAUGGUAUAGGAUGCCUUGGGUCGUCAUGUUGAUCUCAGGAGACAGUCAUGAUUGGUCAUCAAUUUUUGUUGGACUCCAUAUGUCAUGAAGGAGAUCAUCACAAUUGUGAUG